rnacentral:lncRNA from 1 species
AUGAAAGACACUUACUCAACAGACUUCUCAUUAUACUCCAGGGAAUCAAAAGGUAAUGUCCAGGAAGAGAGUGGAACAGGGUGGAGAGACCCAUCGUGGGACAGAUUUAUGGUCCCUUCAUCCACUGAAGAUGUUAUUUACGAGAGACAUGCAGUCAGAGAGUGCAGCAGUACAGCAUGUACUUACUACCCAGCAUCAUCGGAUCAUUCUUUCAAGAAGGUGGACAGAACUGAAUGCAGCCUGUGCUCCCGGGGCCGGCAUGAGGGAGACCAGCUUGUCCUCUGCGUCCCAUCGCCGAGACCCUCCACCUCCACUCCCCGCUCCAGUCAGGAACCUGCCUGUUCACCUGAUGCCAGUUUAUGCCAGCCAUCAUACUCUACUACUGUACUUUUCAGGGUACUAUACUGCAAGAAGAUGGCUCUUACCUGGAUAAGAAGAGCUGGAAAUUAUUGAUUGCUAAAUUUUCACAGAUGGAUUGAAGCAGAUCAGAGAGUGUGAGUAGAGUCACAUAUUCUAUUAUAAACAGAUUAUGUGAAUGAUUUGAUAUUAAUCCAGUGCAUUUUGCUCCUUAAAUGUUUUCAUUUUUACAGCUCAUUUGAUGUCUUAAAAAGUGUUUACAAUCUGUAGAACAGUAAAACGGAAAAGCAAAAGUUUCUUGUAAUCUAUUCUCCAGGAGAAAAACUGAACUUUCGUUUUGUGAUAUACUCUGGAUUUUUUCCUGUGCACAUUUUAUAAUACCACAUGUGUAACUAUUGACAUCGUGCUAUACCUGAGCCACAUCUGCUUUUAUUCAACUUAAUAUACAUUAUGGGCAUCUUUUCUUAACACAACAUGUAAGCCUCUCUCAUUUUUUUUAAUGGCUUCACAGAUCUCACUACACAGAUAUACUAGAAUUCAUUUAUCCCAGUGUUACAUAUCAGAGUUGUUUCCACAUUUUGUCCUAAAUUUGUUAUAAACUGUGCAAUGCACAGCACCCCCCCGUAGCGAUGGCACCAGCUCCAUUACUACACUGCACACCCUAUACUUAACCCCAUCAUACUGAAACACAGUGACAUUCAGACAGAUCACUUGCCCAAGGUAGACAGCAGAGUAAACUUUGCCAAGAUAAAGAUUUGAACCCAGGCAAUCUGACAUCAGAGAUCCUGUUUAAAUUAUUAGCUAUUUAUCCUAUAUAAAUCAUAUUUCUCAAGUAUUUUUCAUAUAUGUCAUUAAGUAUAAUAUUUAGUAUUUCACUAAAAAGAGUAGGCUUCAAAAAUUAAAUUUAGCAAACUUGCCACCAGUUCUGUUCUUGUAUACUAUAAACAAUCAAAAACAA